rnacentral:miRNA from 1 species
ACGUCAUCGUGGUGUAGGUAUAAUGCCUGGUCUCCUGGCCCCAGGUGCAGUGGUGCAUCUCUGGUCAAUUGGGAGUCUGAGAUGAAGCACUGUAGCUCGGGAAGGAGGGCGCAGCCACAACGGGUGGGCAGUCUGAGUGGUGGCCCAUGUCUCUAUCUCUCUGCCUUAUUAUGGACGGUCUUCUAAUGGAGAUCUAUGUUUGGGAUAUUAGGGAUGGAGGGCCCCCGUGACUGGUGCUGCCCCUCCCAGCCUCUCUCUCGCUCUCCCAGGUCUGGCCACAUAUCAGAGAUGCCAUAUCAUCGCUCCACCCAUGAUGUUUGCCGUUUCUCCAUACAGCCGCAUCGUCCAGUAAAGACGGUAGUAGUUGGUGUGUUUCCCGUGCAUCCCUUCAUAAGGUAGGGGGG